UGACUCCUUGAGAGUCCUGAAGGAACGUUGAAGACUACGACGUUGAUAGGCCGGGUGUGUAAGCGCAGCGAUGCGUUGAGCUAACCGGUACUAAUGAACCGUGAGGCUUAACCUUACAACGCCGAAG
rnacentral:rRNA from 1 species